UUAGUACGGCGAGUGAAGCGGUAAAAGCUCAAAUUUGAAAUCUGGUACUUUCAGUGCCCGAGUUGUAAUUUGUAGAAUUUGUCUUUGAUUAGGUCCUUGUCUAUGUUCCUUGGAACAGGACGUCAUAGAGGGUGAGAAUCCCGUUUGGCGAGGAUACCUUUUCUUUGUAAGACUUUUUCGAAGAGUCGAGUUGUUUGGGAAUGCAGCUCAAAGUGGGUGGUAAAUUCCAUCUAAAGCUAAAUAUUGGCGAGAGACCGAUAGCGAACAAGUACAGUGAUGGAAAGAUGAAAAGAACUUUGAAAAGAGAGUGAAAAAGUACGUGAAAUUGUUGAAAGGGAAGGGCAUUUGAUCAGACAUGGUGUUUUUUGCAUGCACUCGCCUCUCGUGGGCUUGGGCCUCUCAAAAAUUUCACUGGGCCAACAUCAUUUUUGGCAGCAGGAUA
rnacentral:rRNA from 1 species